rnacentral:tRNA from 1 species
GUUAUAAUAAUUUAAUUAAAAAUAAUGGUUUUGUAAAUCAUAUUUGAGCUAUUCUUAUAACU